rnacentral:tRNA from 1 species
GCGUCGGUAGCUCAGUCGGUAGAGCAGGGGACUGAAAAUCCCCGUGUCGGUGGUUCGAUUCCGCCCCGGCGCACCA